GGUUCAAUGGUCUAAUGGUUAUGAUUUCUGUCUCACAUACUGGUUUGUCCACAGAAGGUUCCCGGUUCGAUCCCGGGUUGAACCA